rnacentral:lncRNA from 12 species
CAACUCUUCUAUCUACAAGCAGAAUCACAACUCGGGGAUAUGGCAAUAUGUGGCCUCUAAAGGACAUCAUGGUACAUUUGUGUCCACCCUAGAGUCCCCAGCACUGUGGGAGAAUUCACCUUUAAAGUGCAGUACCACAGCACUGCUGGCCCAACAGACAUUUCUCUGUAACUCCUACUGACAUUUGUGAUGACACCAUCAAUGAAAUAAGGAAAAGUGCACUUGGGAAGGUGGAUGGAGG